AGACAAGGUUUUGCGGUAUUAGCCAGGAUGAUCUCAAUCUCCUGACCUUGUGAUCCGCCUGCUUCGGCCUCCCAAAGUGCUGGGAUUACAGGCAUGAACUACCGCACCCGGCCCUUAAGAAGUCUUAAAGUCAUCUAUGAUAGGUGAAAUGCACUGGAGUGUCUAGUUUUGUGUCACGUGUCCUUUCUGCCAUUCUCAGGCUAAUGGCACUCUUCAUGACAAGCCUGAUUGUACUGUUAAGCUCCAGAGGAAAAAAUGUGGCUACAGAGUAUAUUAAAAUACAUACAAUUGAAAAGGAAAAUGUUCAUUUUUGCAAGCAGAAGAUUACCAACAGAAUGCUAAAAUUGAAGCUAGAAGAAAGAUUUGAAGUGGCUUUACAAGGUUAUUUCCAAGGUCAUCUGUCUCUUUUUAAGAGAAAAAUAAUAUCCAAAGAAGUCCCACCACUCAGAAGACUUUUACAUUUCAUGUCUCAUUUGCCAGAAUUUCUUCUUACAAGCUCUAAACCAAUCAUGAUGGGUUCUCAUGAUGUUGUCCAGGCUGUAGUGCAAUGGCUCUUAAGAGGUGCAAUCACAGUGCACUAUAGCCUCAAACUCCUGGACCCAAGCAUUCCUCCUGCUUUGGAUUCCUGA
rnacentral:lncRNA from 1 species